UACAGAGGUCUCAACCGUUGUUCGGAAUUACUGGGCGUAAAGCGUGCGCAGGCGGCCCUCCAAGUCAGUGGUGAAAGCCCGGAGCUCAACUCCGGAAUUGCCAUUGAAACUGUAGGGCUCGAGUACGGGAGAGGUGAGUGGAAUUCCCAGUGUAGAGGUGAAAUUCGUAGAUAUUGGGAAGAACACCGGUGGCGAAGGCGGCUCACUGGCUCGUAACUGACGCUCAUGCACGACAGCGUGGGG
rnacentral:rRNA from 1 species